UACGGGGGGGGGCAAGCGUUGUUCGGAAUUACUGGGCGUAAAGGGCGUGUAGGUGGCCAACUAAGUCCGACGUGAAAUCCCCAGGCUUAACCUGGGAACUGCGUCGGAUACUGGAUGGCUUGAAUUCGGGAGAGGAAUGCAGAAUUCCAGGUGUAGCGGUGAAAUGCGUAGAUAUCUGGAGGAACACCGGUGGCGAAGGCGGCAUCCUGGACCGGUAUUGACGCUGAGGCGCGAAAGCUAGGGUAGCAAACGGG
rnacentral:rRNA from 1 species